rnacentral:rRNA from 1 species
AGGGAUUACCUCAGUAACGGCGAGUGAAGCGGUAACAGCUCAAAUUUGAAAUCUGGCUCUUUCAGGGUCCGAGUUGUAAUUUGUAGAAGAUGCUUUGGGUGUGGCCCCGGUCUAAGUUCCUUGGAACAGGACGUCAUAGAGGGUGAGAAUCCCGUAUGUGACUGGGUGCUUUCGCCCGUGUAAAGCUCUUUCGACGAGUCGAGUUGUUUGGGAAUGCAGCUCAAAAUGGGUGGUAAAUUUCAUCUAAAGCUAAAUAUUGGCCAGAGACCGAUAGCGCACAAGUAGAGUGAUCGAAAGAUGAAAAGCACUUUGGAAAGAGAGUUAAACAGUACGUGAAAUUGUUGAAAGGGAAGCGCUUGCAACCAGACUCGCAUGCCGCUGAUCAUCCGGGGUUCUCCCCGGUGCACUCGGUGGUCUACGGGCCAGCAUCGGUUUGGGUGGCGGGAUAAAGGCUGUGGGAAUGUAGCUUCUCUCGGGGAGUGUUAUAGCCCACGGUGCAAUGCCGCCUACCUGGACCGAGGACCGCGCUUCGGCUAGGAUGCUGGCGUAAUGGUUGUAAGCGACCCGUCUUGAAACACGGACCAAGGAGUCUAACAUCUAUGCGAGUAUUUGGGUGUUAAACCCAUAUGCGUAAUGAAAGUGAACGGAGGUAAGAACCCUUUAGGGUGCAUUAUCGACCGAUCCUGAUGUCUUCGGAUGGAUUUGAGUAAGAGCAUAGCUGUUGGGACCCGAAAGAUGGUGAACUAUGCCUAAAUAGGGUGAAGCCAGAGGAAACUCUGGUGGAGGCUCGCAGCGGUUCUGACGUGCAAAUCGAUCGUCAAAUUUGGGUAUAGGGGCGAAAGACUAAUCGAACCAUCUAGUAGC